rnacentral:rRNA from 1 species
UACGUAGGGGGCGAGCGUUGUCCGGAAUCAUUGGGCGUAAAGCGCGUGUAGGCGGUUCGGUAAGUCUGCUGUGAAAGUCCAGGGCUCAACCCUGGGAUGCCGGUGGAUACUGCUGAACUAGAGUGCGGAAGAGGCGAGUGGAAUUCCCGGUGUAGUGGUGAAAUGCGUAGAGAUCGGGAGGAACACCUGUGGCGAAGGCGGCCGACUGGGCCGACCCUGACGCUGAGGCGCGAAGGCGUGGGGAGCGAACGGG